UACGUAGGGUGCGAGCGUUAAUCGGAAUUACUGGGCGUAAAGCGUGCGCAGGCGGUUUUGUAAGCCAGAUGUGAAAUCCCCGGGCUUAACCUGGGAACUGCAUUUGUGACUGCAUAGCUAGAGUACGGUAGAGGGGGAUGGAAUUCCGCGUGUAGCAGUGAAAUGCGUAGAUAUGCGGAGGAACACCGAUGGCGAAGGCGGUUCUCUGGGACGGUACUGACGCUGAGACGCGAAAGCGUGGGGAGCAAACAGG
rnacentral:rRNA from 1 species